GACGAACGCUGGCGGCGUGCUUAACACAUGCCAGUCGAACGGAAAGGCCCUGCUUUUGUGGGGUGCUCGAUUGGCGAACGGGUGAGUAACACGUGAGUAACCUGCCCUUGACUUUGGGAUAACUUCAGGAAACUGGGGCUAAUACCGCAUAUGAUCUCCUGCUGCAUGUGGGGGGUUGGAAAAUUUCGGCGGUUGGGGCUGGACUCGCGGCUUAUCGGCUAGUUGGUGGGGUAGUGGCUUACCAAGGCUUUGACGGGUAGGCGGCCUGAGAGGGUAGCCGGGCACAUUGGUACUGAGAGAGGGCGCAGUAUCCUACGGGAGGCAGCAGUGGGGAAUAUUGCACAAUGGGCGGAAGCCUGAGGCAGAAGCGUCGCGUGCGUGAUGACGGGUUUCGGGGUGUAAACAGAUUUCGCCUGUGAUGAGGCGUGAGUGACGGUAAUGGGUAAAGAAGCACCGGCUAACUACGUG
rnacentral:rRNA from 1 species